CAGCAGCCACGGGAACACAGAGGAUGCAAGCGUUAUCCGGAAUGAUUGGGCGUAAAGUGUCUGUAGGUGGCUUUUCAAGUCCGCCGUCAAAUCCCAGGGCUCAACCCUGGACAGGUGGUGGAAACUACCAAGCUGGAGUAUGGUAGGGGCAGAGGGAAUUUCCGGUGGAGCGGUGAAAUGCAUUGAGAUCGGAAAGAACACCAACGGCGAAAGCACUCUGCUGGGCCGACAUUGACACUGAGAGACGAAAGGUAGGGGAGCAAAUGGGAUUAGAUACCCCAGUAGUCCCUGUCUCUUAUAA
rnacentral:rRNA from 1 species